GCAUUUUGAAUAUGGUAUUUAGGUAAAUGCUGCGCUGAGCCUGAGGAAUUGUUAAAACUGACACCACAAGGGCAUGCUAAUGCAAUUAGAUAACUUGCAGUGUUGAGAUUUGGCCUUUGUUUGGGCUCAGUUGCAGUUUAACAAGAUGCAAAAAUAUGUAGAUAGUAACUUGUACGCUGCUGAAACAAGCCUAGCAGGGCAAAGGUGAGAUCCACCUGUCAAAGGUGGUGCUACAGACAGCUGCCACAGGAUCUGCCAGUGACACUUCACAUUUCCAGUUGAGAGAGGACUGGGAGGAGGCUGCAAAGCAGUGAGUACCAUCUGGACGUGUCCAUGAGAACUUGGGAUCUCUUGUUUGAGGGGAGGUGGGGGAGUAUUAUUAGUGGAAGGUUGUUCACUGUGUGUUGAGGUUUUCUUGACACAGGAGGAGAAGCUCCAAACACCUGAUCUGUACCAUGUUUAUGCGGCCACAGUGAAUCAGUGCUGCUUUGCCCUUUUGCUGCUCAGAGGUGCUACGUAGAUGUCAAGUCUCAUUCAGUAAAUGGUGCAAGGAUUUGGAAAGCAGAAUAAUGAGUAGAGAUGGUGUCCUGCCAGUAAUUGCUGGAAGCGGAGGAGAAGGGAGCUGUAGGAUGUUGGCGCAUGGAGAAGCGCAGAGAUAUUCCCGCUCUGGCUGACGGUUUCUAAUAAAGAUAUUUUUAUUGUAAUUGACAAUGGUCUCAUGAUCCCAUUUCCUGUUCCAAUCAGCAUUGGUUUAUUCUCAUUUCAAGCAUGAUUCUGCUGAAAAACACUCUCUCCAGUAG